rnacentral:rRNA from 1 species
AAAUUGAAGAGUUUGAUCAUGGCUCAGAUUGAACGCUGGCGGCAGGCCUAACACAUGCAAGUCGAACGGUAACAGGAAACAGCUUGCUGUUUCGCUGACGAGUGGCGGACGGGUGAGUAAUGUCUGGGAAACUGCCUGAUGGAGGGGGAUAACUACUGGAAACGGUAGCUAAUACCGCAUAACGUCGCAAGACCAAAGAGGGGGACCUUCGGGCCUCUUGCCAUCGGAUGUGCCCAGAUGGGAUUAGCUAGUAGGUGGGGUAACGGCUCACCUAGGCGACGAUCCCUAGCUGGUCUGAGAGGAUGACCAGCCACACUGGAACUGAGACACGGUCCAGACUCCUACGGGAGGCAGCAGUGGGGAAUAUUGCACAAUGGGCGCAAGCCUGAUGCAGCCAUGCCGCGUGUAUGAAGAAGGCCUUCGGGUUGUAAAGUACUUUCAGCGGGGAGGAAGGGAGUAAAGUUAAUACCUUUGCUCAUUGACGUUACCCGCAGAAGAAGCACCGGCUAACUCCGUGCCAGCAGCCGCGGUAAUACGGAGGGUGCAAGCGUUAAUCGGAAUUACUGGGCGUAAAGCGCACGCAGGCGGUUUGUUAAGUCAGAUGUGAAAUCCCCGGGCUCAACCUGGGAACUGCAUCUGAUACUGGCAAGCUUGAGUCUCGUAGAGGGGGUAGAAUUCCAGGUGUAGCGGUGAAAUGCGUAGAGAUCUGGAGGAAUACCGGUGGCGAAGGCGGCCCCCUGGACGAAGACUGACGCUCAGGUGCGAAAGCGUGGGGAGCAAACAGGAUUAGAUACCCUGGUAGUCCACGCCGUAAACGAUGUCGACUUGGAGGUUGUGCCCUUGAGGCGUGGCUUCCGGAGCUAACGCGUUAAGUCGACCGCCUGGGGAGUACGGCCGCAAGGUUAAAACUCAAAUGAAUUGACGGGGGCCCGCACAAGCGGUGGAGCAUGUGGUUUAAUUCGAUGCAACGCGAAGAACCUUACCUGGUCUUGACAUCCACAGAACCUUGUAGAGAUACGAGGGUGCCUUCGGGAACUGUGAGACAGGUGCUGCAUGGCUGUCGUCAGCUCGUGUUGUGAAAUGUUGGGUUAAGUCCCGCAACGAGCGCAACCCUUAUCCUUUGUUGCCAGCGGUCCGGCCGGGAACUCAAAGGAGACUGCCAGUGAUAAACUGGAGGAAGGUGGGGAUGACGUCAAGUCAUCAUGGCCCUUACGACCAGGGCUACACACGUGCUACAAUGGCGCAUACAAAGAGAAGCGACCUCGCGAGAGCAAGCGGACCUCAUAAAGUGCGUCGUAGUCCGGAUUGGAGUCUGCAACUCGACUCCAUGAAGUCGGAAUCGCUAGUAAUCGUGGAUCAGAAUGCCACGGUGAAUACGUUCCCGGGCCUUGUACACACCGCCCGUCACACCAUGGGAGUGGGUUGCAAAAGAAGUAGGUAGCUUAACCUUCGGGAGGGCGCUUACCACUUUGUGAUUCAUGACUGGGGUGAAGUCGUAACAAGGUAACCGUAGGGGAACCUGCGGUUGGAUCACCUCCUUACCUUAAAGAAGC